CUCCUGGACGCCCAGGCGCGCGCCCUCGCGGAUGCUGGGCAGCAGGGGAACAGCGCGAGCAGGGCUGCCCACAGCGCGCACAGGCGGGACAGUCCCAGGAGCGCCGCUCGGUCCAUGGCCCCCGCAUGGAUUCCCGCAGCCCCAGCCACUCCUCUUCGGCCCUCCCUGCCCCGAGGCCCGCCAGGCCAGAGGUCAGCUCCCCAGCACCAAGUUCUCCGGCGCUCUCCUCCUCCUUGCAGACAACAUAAAACGAAGGCCAGAAGCGAGAGGGGCUCUCGGCGGCCUCCCCUCCCUCGCUGGGAGCAGUGCGAGGAGGCGGAGGAAGGAUCUGGAGGCUCUCCUCCCGCGCCCGGCUGGAGACGUGCGUGCGGGAGAUGCGGGAGCUGCCCUCGCAUUCCAAGGAGAAUCAUCUUUUUGAGUCAGAGUUGGUACCAAACAAGUUGACCUUUCAACACCCUGCUUGAGGUCCCAAUGCGUCCAGAAGCUUUGGAGGACAGGACGGGAGAAAGGCCUUCCCAUGGGGACCGACGUCAUCUCCCCAAGCACGCAUGUUUAGCCAAAGGAAGGGUGCAGCCUGGCCUCUAACCGACCGCAGUCAACCCGUGUUGUGCGAUUUCCUUUCCCAGGGUUGUCUCCCAUUCCCCAUCCUUGAAAGCACUGUCGGAAGAUGGAAGGCAAGAAAGAAUGAGUGAAAGCUGUCUGGAGGGUUCUAGAAUAGUGGGGAGCUGUGUCCUGACCCUCUGCUCCACUCCACAUGAUGGCUCUCUGGGCAGGGCUACAACUGAAGACAGAUUUUAAAAACAUGCUUAUUAAGCACCUACCAUGUGGGCAGGAAGGACUGUGGGACAUUAGAGAGACAAGACCCAUUCCCUCGAGGGCACAAACCAGCCCUGGAGAGGAGCCUACAGCAAAAUAACUGGAGGUUGUUGGUAAAGGAGAGAAUGAAACCCAGCCAGGUCCUUGCUGGAGCCAAAGAGGACCCGGAAGCAGAAUGUCAUGGUGCCUGGCCUUUAGGAAGGUUGGUUAACCAGCAUUCUGCAGUCUCUGGGGGAACUCUGAAGGCAAGCAGGACAUGCUUAGCUGUGGGACAGCCUUGCCUCCCAUAGUGGGUGACAGGAAAUGUUUUGCAGUGGCAUCACCUGCUCCUCAGAGGACUUAUGAAAUGUUUGUAAAUUCUCAGGUGAACAGAACAGCUUAGUGGGUGGCAAAAACCAGACCUACCCAAAUAAAAG